rnacentral:rRNA from 1 species
GAUGAACGCUGGCGGCGUGCCUAACACAUGCAAGUCGAGCGAACAGACGAGGAGCUUGCUCCUUUGACGUUAGCGGCGGACGGGUGAGUAACACGUGGGUAACCUACCUAUAAGACUGGGAUAACUUCGGGAAACCGGAGCUAACACCGGAUAAUAUUUCGAACCGCAUGGUUCGAUAGUGAAAGAUGGCUUUGCUGUCACUUAUAGAUGGACCUGCGCUGUAUUGGAUAGUUGGUAAGGUAACGGCUUACCAAGGCAACGAUACGUAGCCGAACGGAGAGAGUGAUCGCCGGCACUGGAACUGGGACGCGGUCCAGGGUCCUACGGGAGGCAGCAGUAGGGAAUCUGCCGCAAUAGGGGGAAACCUGACGCAGCAGGGCCGCGUGAGUGGUGGAGGUGUUCGGAUCGUGAAGCUCUGUUAUUGGGGAAAAACAGACGUGUAAGUAGCUGUGCAGGGCGUGACGGUACCUGAUCAAGAAGCCACGGCUAACUACGUG